AGUGAACGCUGGCGGUAGGCCUAACACAUGCAAGUCGAACGGCAGCACAGUAAGAGCUUGCUCUUACGGGUGGCGAGUGGCGGACGGGUGAGGAAUACAUCGGAAUCUACUUUUUCGUGGGGGAUAACGUAGGGAAACUUACGCUAAUACCGCAUACGACCUCCGGGUGAAAGCAGGGGAUCUUCGGCCCUUGCGCGAUUGAAUGAGCCGAUGUCGGAUUAGCUAGUUGGCGGGGUAAAGGCCCACCAAGGCGACGAUCCGUAGCUGGUCUGAGAGGAUGAUCAGCCACACUGGAACUGAGACACGGUCCAGACUCCUACGGGAGGCAGCAGUGGGGAAUAUUGGACAAUGGGCGCAAGCCUGAUCCAGCCAUACCGCGUGGGUGAAGAAGGCCUUCGGGUUGUAAAGCCCUUUUGUUGGGAAAGAAAAGCAGCAGGUUAAUACCCCGCUGUUCUGACGGUACCCAAAGAAUAAGCACCGGCUAACUUCGUG
rnacentral:rRNA from 1 species